rnacentral:lncRNA from 1 species
AACCAGGGGAAGAAGGAACUCAUCCUCAUGCCACCAACCAGGUGAUGAAAUGUGAUGAAAGGUGAUGAAGGAACUCACCUUCGUACCACCAACCAAGUGAUGAAAACAACUCACUAUUCAUUCCACCUACCAGAAGACGAGUGGUACAACUUGUACAUAUGAACUCCUAGCAUUCACAAAUAAUAAAAAAACCCUCAAGCUUGACAACUCAACUAAGGGAGCACUUAUGCCCAACAAGAGUUAUAGUCACCAACAAAGUCUUAUUGCAAACCAACAACUUUAGUGCAUGGCAUACGAAGAUCAAGCUAUUCAGCCCUCUUGCAUCUGCUUCAAACAUUUCCCCUCUGUAACAAUGCAAACACUACAACUCGUACAAAGCUUCACACACUUUUGAUCAAGACAGUGUGAAGCAAAACCAAUUUAUGGUGCCAACAAGAGCUUCAUCAAAGGAGUUCAAUCAUAAUUCUCAAAAGCUUCACACACUUUUGAUCAAGACAAUGUGAAGCAAAAUCAAUCUAUGGUGCCAACAAGAGCUUCAUCAAUGGAGGGCAAGCACAAUUCUCAAAAGCUUCACACACUCUUGAUCAAGACAGUGUGAAGCAAAAUCAAUUUAUGGUGCCAACAAAAGCUUCAUCAAUGGAGGGCAACCACAAUUCUCAAAAGCUUCACACUCUUGAUCAAGAUAGUGUGAAGCAAAACCAAUUUAUGGUGCCAACAAGAGCUUCAUCAAAGGAGUUCAACCACAAUUCUCAAAAGCUUCACACACUCUUGAUCAAGACAAUGUGAAGCAAAAUCAAUUUAUGGUGCCAACAAGAGCUUCAUCAAUGGAGGGCAACCACAAUUCUCAAAA